rnacentral:rRNA from 1 species
AACGAACGCUGGCGGCAGGCUUAACACAUGCAAGUCGAACGGAUCCUUCGGGAUUAGUGGCAGACGGGUGAGUAACGCGUGGGAACGUACCCUUUGCUACGGAAUAAUUCAGGGAAACUUGAGCUAAUACCGUAUGUGCCCUACGGGGGAAAGAUUUAUCGGCAAAGGAUCGGCCCGCGUUGGAUUAGCUAGUUGGUGGGGUAAUGGCCUACCAAGGCGACGAUCCAUAGCUGGUCUGAGAGGAUGAUCAGCCACACUGGGACUGAGACACGGCCCAGACUCCUACGGGAGGCAGCAGUGGGGAAUAUUGGACAAUGGGCGCAAGCCUGAUCCAGCCAUGCCGCGUGAGUGAUGAAGGUCUUAGGAUUGUAAAGCUCUUUCACCGGUGAAGAUAAUGACGGUAGCCGGAGAAGAAGCCCCGGCUAACUUCGUG